rnacentral:tRNA from 1 species
GCCCGGAUAGCUCAGUCGGUAGAGCAGGGGAUUGAAAAUUCCGAGUCCGGGCACC